CUGCAGCCGGCCAGUAUCUGCACAGAGGCCAGGCCCUGUCUUUGAGGUACUCCUGUCGUCUCCAGCAGAACCUGGUCACUGUGCAGGCCACGUUGCUGGGAGAGUGGCCAGGACCCUGCUGUGUCCUCCCUGCUGGUGGAAGGAGUGCACCAGGCCAGGGCGGCCGAAGCCAACACAAGGUGACCUAGGAGCAGCUUGGACCCUGUGGCGUAGGGUGGAGGUGAGGGUCACGAGGACAAAUGGCAAACAUACAUGGGCUUCCUGACCUGCUAGCUGACCACUCCCAACAGCGUGGAGAAGCCUGCGGCGUUGGGUUCCUGGUGUUCUCUGGGGUCCCCAACCUUCCCUUUCUGUACAUUUCCACCUGCAAGACCUCUGGUCCAGGAAAGAUGUGGAGGGGACAGAAGUCAGCAGUGGGGCCACACCCGCCCUCCCACUCUCCCUGUCCUGGGGGCCCAGAGCAGCAGGAGGAAGAUGUGAGGAAAUGGUGACGCUGCAAGUCCUCCAGCCCAGCACCUGGAGCUCAGCACCAGGAUCUCGGCACCCCGAGCCCAGCACCCGGAGCAGGCACAGUUGGGAGGCGUGUGGUGCAGAUGGGGUCUGUGGCUGAUCUCAGUGACAGGGAGCCGUGGGCUCAGAGCACAGUGGGAAUCCUAUUGGUUUCUCUUUAUUCCUGGGGACUGUGGGGACCUGGCAGUGGCUGGCUUCCCUGCCCGUCCGGGAAGGCCGAUUCCUCCUCAAAUUGGGAACAAUUGGUGUUUUAUCACAUUUCCACAUGCAAAAUGUGUUUCGGCAUUUUUCAUUAGAUUUUUAAGGCUCAGAUUGAUGAGGGCCAAGUCAGAGCCAGACAUGGGGGCGUAAGAGACAAAGGUUCAGUAAUGAGUUCGAAAUUUACAAAACACAGAAGCAAAUAUGGCUUCAAUACCCGACGUGACCCUUUAUAAGUCUUGAAAUUACUCUUCAAAAAUCAUUCUGGCCUGACUUCAGAGCCGAGUGGAUGCUGGGAUACCACAGAUCGACUUUGAGAAGUGGGCUGGUAUUGCAGGAAUUUUUUAAUUUCCUGUAACUCACAACAAUUUUUUCCCAGUGAGACUCGGAGUCACUCCCGCGAUGGGGCACUGACCGCAUGUGCUGUGGGAGCCGAGCGAGCGACCCAGGAGGAAGGGCACGGAGAGGAUCACCUGGGGAAAGAGCCAUCAGAAGUUUAGGAAAAUAUUUCCAGUGAGAGUGUAUAAUGACGCUUGCAGAAGGUGGCUGAGGGACCAAAAAGGCAAAACUCCAGAGAUUGCUCCCCAACAGUCCUGAGUCCCUUCCUCCACCUCAGCGCCGUCGGGCCCCUGUCACCCCAGGGCGCUGAGCGAUGCCCUUUCAGAAGUCACCAAAGGAUCCAUUGGUCUUGGUCACUGCGCAGGGCCCAGGGACUCCAGCAGCACACCCACUGCAAUAAUGGGCCUGGACCCAUCGCGGGUCAGGAGGAGCCCGUGUGGGGACCCUGGGCAAGCGGCACUCGGUGGCUUUCACAAUGUGUGAAGCCAGGCAGAAAAGCAGUGUAUUUGAUUGAGAGCCCGGAGGGUCGCGGAGAUCAGCCCUUCCUUUCUCCAGCCUCCAGGGGUUCGUGGCUGGGGAGCUGGAGGUGACACUUGGCAGCCAAGGGCGUGGGGCCACGUGGAGGGCCUGGAACCCGGAAAGAGGAAAGGGAGCUAAUUAGUGCUGUGCUCUGCUUGCCCCUGGCUCCCCCUCCCCGUUUCCCCACCUCUGCUGUCGACAGGGACAGGCGCCAUGAUAAUAAAUAGCAAAACUCUCUCAUGUUCGCCACGUGCCCAUUCCUGCCCUAUGUCCUCCACCUGAAUUUUCCCCUCUUUAUCCUGGCAGUAAAAGAAGCUCUGUUAUUGGCCCCACUUAACAGAUAAUACCUAGUUAGUAGCUCACUUUUAAUGAGCAUUUACUCUGUGGCAGGCCCUGGACCAUAUGUGUAUGCAUUCAAUUAAUGUGAUGAACGAGGAAAAGGAGGCACAGAGAAGUUAAAUAACUGGCCCUGGUCACACAGCUGAUAAAUAGCAGAGGUGGAAUUCAAACCCAGGCCACAAGACGCCAUCCAUUACCAUACCCUAGGGCACCCUAGUUGCCUGCCUCUUUCCUCUCAGGAAGGCUUCCCUGUCUUUGCCACGGAUCAGCAUUUCUCACCCUCUUUUGAUUAUAUUUUAUUUGGGCUUGUCCUCUGAAAUUGUAAGGCUACCAGAGAGCAGGCUGAAGCUGCAACCUUUCCCCCUGUAUGCGCAGCAUUCCUGGCACAUAGUAGGUGUUCAAGACACAGGCCAACUGCAGCCUAAAAAGACAAAAACAAACAAACACAAAAAAACCAGCUUUAACUUUGAGCCCAGGCAUCGGGUAGAAUUGUCCCCUGGCAGACAGGACAUGGUCAGGAGAGGAGGGCCCAGUGCUGCUUAUUUUAUUUUGAGGUGAUUUGUCUUUUUUUUUUCUUACCUUCUAAUGGAAAAUUCUCUCCAAAGUCACACUCAUUAGCACUCAGAGACUGUUGUGGCAAAAUCUUUCCCAAAUAGUCCCAGCUCUAUUUGUAGGAGGGAAAGAAGCUGAACCAGGACCAAGUACCAGGACUUGGCCCGCAGGGAAGGCUUCAAAGGCAGGGGCUGGCGGCCUCUGUCCUGGGCAAGGGCGGGAAGUGGCUGGUCGCAGAGGGGUUGGGUAGAUUUUGUGUUGACCCGGAGGGCAGCACAAACCACCCCAAAGGAGUGUCUGGGGCUAAGUGGAAAUGCUGUGGCGUGGUGUGCUCUCUUCACAGACCUGGCUUCCAGCAACAGGGAAGUCACCCACAGGAGCAAGAGUCAUGUCAUGGGCCUCUCUCGGAUCAUCAGACACGUGAAUCAAGGAAGCGUCCCUCUCCCAUCAGAACAGGGACUCGAUAAAACGGAGUAGGGCUGUGCUGCAGGCCCAGAGCUGUUCACCUCCCUCUUUCAUCUUCUUUCCCUACGUGCACUUGAGGUUCCCGAUCCCACUUUAAUUCUUCCACUAACAACCUUGGAGUAGGUUCGAUUCCCAUUCACAGAUGAGGAAUCCAAGACUUUGAACGUUUCUGUCCUGCAAGCUGGGAUUUUGAACCCAGGACGCUUGGGUGCAGGGACCCGUGCCUAGCGAUGACACCGCUGCUGCGUUCAGCUUGCCCAUCCUGCCCUGUCUUCACAGGGGACCACCGAUGGAUGGGCAGGCAGGGAUGCUGGAAGCUUCCAGGUGGAUCCAAAAGAUGUCACAGGCUCCCUUGCACACCUGCUCACUGAAGCCUCGCCAGGCGCUGGAAUCCAGGCACACAGCACAGGCCCUGAACUGUCUCCAGGUCUCCAACACUGAGUCACAUGGAUGGAGUCAAGGACAGGCCCAGGGUGUGGCCCCAGCAAGGCAAGGGUGGAGCCCUACCUUGAGUGGCGCAUGCCAUACUGGGGGACAGGGUAUAGGACCUUCCAACUCAGGAUUCAGGUGCACUUUUCCUCUUUGUUUUAUGACAGGUGCAUUUUUGUUUUGUCUUGCUUUUGCUUUUAUUUUCAACUGAUAUAUAAAAA